CACCUACGGGAGGCUGCAGUAACGAAUAUUGGGCAGUGGGCGCAAGCCUGACCCAGCAAUGCCGCGCGCAGGAGGAAGUCCUUCGGGAUGUAAACUACUGUCAGGGACCACCAAGCGAGGGAGGCGAAUAUCCUCCCGAGUUGAGGAAUCCCAGAGGAAGUCACGGCUAACUUCGUGCCAGCAGCCGCGGUAAGACAAAGGUGGCGAGCGUUGCUCGGAAUCGCUGGGGUUAAAGAGCACGUCGUCGGACUGUCAAGCGUUUUGAGAAACCCUUCGGCUUAACCGAGGAAUAGCUUGGCGAACCGGCAGUCUGGGGGCAGGUAGGGGCAAGCGGAAGUCAUGGUGGAGCGAUGGAAUCAGUAGAUAUCGUGACGAACGCCGGAGGCGAAAGCGGGUGACUGGGCCUGUCCUGAUGCUGAGACGCGAAAGCGUAGGGAGCAAACGGGAUUAGAUACCCCGGUAGUCUACGCCGUAAACGAUGCGCACUAGGUUCGAGAGUCUCUGAUAUCUUUCGAGCCGAAAUAAAAACGGUAAGUGCGCCGCCUGGGGAGUACGGCCGCAAGGCUAAAACUCAUGGGUAAAGAGGGGGG
rnacentral:rRNA from 1 species